rnacentral:rRNA from 1 species
GCAGCCGCCGCGGUAAUACAGAGGGUGCGAGCGUUAAUCGGAUUUACUGGGCGUAAAGCGUGCGUAGGCGGCUUCUUAAGUCGGAUGUGAAAUCCCUGAGCUUAACUUAGGAAUUGCAUUCGAUACUGGGAAGCUAGAGUAUGGGAGAGGAUGGUAGAAUUCCAGGUGUAGCGGUGAAAUGCGUAGAGAUCUGGAGGAAUACCUAUGGCGAAGGCAGCCAUCUGGCCUAAUACUGACGCUGAGGUACGAAAGCAUGGGGAGCAAACAGGAUUAGAUACCCCUGUAGUCCCUGUCUCUUAUAC